GGCUGGCUUUCCCCGGGGUUCAGAAGAUUGUUGAAGGUUCCUGAAUAAACGGCAGAAAGAAGAGCUCGGUGUUGUGUCUUCCUUGCUGGUCAAGAUGCCAGCUGGAGCCUAACCUUUUUCUGGUACCUUGGGCUCCCUUGCUCUUCCUCUGAGCCACGUUUCCCGCUUCAUUGCUCCAUUCUCCUCCUCCAGGAAGUUGCAGAGGGUUUUUCUUUGUAGCCUGACCGCCCUGCAACUCCCUCUGUAGACCAGGCUGGCCCCAAACUCAGAGAGAUCCACUUGCCUCUGCCUCCCAAGUACUGAGAUUAAAGGUGCGUGCCACCAUCACCCAGCUUAAACCUUUUUUCUUUAUAAAUCAACUGUCUCAGUUAUUUUGCUGCAGUAGUGUGAAAUUAAUACAAUGAAUACCCAGAAACACCUGUUCCCAUCACCCUGCAUACCAUGGCUCCACAGUCAUCCCAUCAUAGCUAGACUGUCUCAUUCCUAUCCUUUUCUCCAUUUGAAAAUAUUUGUUCAUUUUCUACGGAUUCUUCCUGCUUAUCCCUAAACACUCAGCACCUAGACUGAAGCUUAGGAAAUGGUGAGAAUUCUGUGAAAUGGAUUAAACAAAUCAUGUCCCUCCCACACACACACACACAACGAAA